GGGCGUUUAGCUCAGCUGGCCAGAGCGCACGGUUCACAUCCGUGAGGUCACAGGUUCAAGUCCUGUAACGCCCACCA
rnacentral:tRNA from 2 species